AUUGAACGCUGGCGGCAGGCUUAACACAUGCAAGUCGAGCGGGGUGAUGUAGCUUGCUACAUUACCUAGCGGCGGACGGGUGAGUAAUGCUUAGGAAUCUGCCUAUUAGUGGGGGACAACAUUCCGAAAGGAAUGCUAAUACCGCAUACGCCCUACGGGGGAAAGCAGGGGAUCUUCGGACCUUGCGCUAAUAGAUGAGCCUAAGUCAGAUUAGCUAGUUGGUGGGGUUAAGGCCUACCAAGGCGACGAUCUGUAGCGGGUCUGAGAGGAUGAUACGCCACACGGGGACUGAGACACGGCCCAGACGCCUACGGGAGGCAGCAGUGGGGAAUAUUGGACAAUGGGCGCAAGCCUGAUCCAGCCAUGCCGCGUGUGUGAAGAAGGCCUUUUGGUUGUAAAGCACUUUAAGCGAGGAGGAGGCUACUUAGAUUAAUACUCUAGGAUAGUGGACGUUACUCGCAGAAUAAGCACCGGCUAACUCUGUGCCAGCAGCCGCCGUAACAC
rnacentral:rRNA from 1 species